UUUGAUCUGGCUCAGAACGAACGCUGGCGGCAGGCCUAACACAUGCAAGUCGAGCGAGAUCUUCGGAUCUAGCGGCGGACGGGUUAGUAACGCGUGGGAACGUACCCAAAGGUAGGGAAUAGCCACUGGAAACGGUGAGUAAUACCCUAUGUGGCUUCGGGGGAAAGAUUUAUCGCCUUUGGAUCGGCCCGCGUUAGAUUAGAUAGUUGGUGGGGUAACGGCCUACCAAGUCUACGAUCUAUAGCUGGUUUUAGAGGAUGAUCAGCAACACUGGGACUGAGACACGGCCCAGACUCUACGGGAGGCAGCAGUGGGGAAUCUUGGACAAUGGGGGCAACCCUGAUCCAGCCAUGCCGCGUGAGUGAUGAAGGCCCUAGGGUCGUAAAGCUCUUUCGCCUGUGAAGAUAAUGACUGUAGCAGGUAAAGAAACCCCGGCUAACUCCGUGCCAGCAGCCGCGGUAAUACGGAGGGGGUUAGCGUUGUUCGGAAUUACUGGGCGUAAAGCGCGCGUAGGCGGACUGGAAAGUUGGGGGUGAAAUCCCAGGGCUCAACCCUGGAACUGCCUCCAAAACUAUCAGUCUAGAGUUCGAGAGAGGUGAGUGGAAUUCCGAGUGUAGAGGUGAAAUUCGUAGAUAUUCGGAGGAACACCAGUGGCGAAGGCGGCUCACUGCUCGAUACUGACGCUGAGGUGCGAAA
rnacentral:rRNA from 1 species